GCCUUGGCUAAGAGAGAGGCAGAUCUUGUCCAACUCAACUUACAGGUUCAAGCUGUUCUGAAGCGUAAAGAGGAAGAGGACCAGCAAAUGAAGCAAGUGGACAGACUCUACAGCUUGCCUUGGAAAAAGAGAAAACCAAAGUGAAAGACCUGAAAGAACAGGUGGCAGCAGCAAAGGCUGAAGCAGCCCAA